UACAGAGGUCCCAAGCGUUGUUCGGAUUUAUUGGGCGUAAAGGGUGCGUAGGUGGCAAAGUAAGUUGGAUGUGAAAUCCUGGGGCUUAACCUCAGAAUUGCAUUCAAUACUGCUUAGCUAGAGAGCUGUAGAGGAGACUGGAAUUUACGGUGUAGCAGUGAAAUGCGUAGAUAUCGUAAGGAACGCCAGUGGCGAAAGCGAGUCUCUGGGCAGCAUCUGACACUGAGGCACGAAGGCCAGGGGAGCAAACAGG
rnacentral:rRNA from 1 species